rnacentral:rRNA from 1 species
UUUAACUGAAGAGUUUGAUCAUGGCUCAGAUUGAACGCUGGCGGCAGGCUUAACACAUGCAAGUCGAGCGGGGGAAGGUAGCUUGCUACUGGACCU